UGGCACCCGAACAGGGACCUGGAAACGAGGGACUCCGUGAGGAAGAGGACGCCAAAGGACGGUCGACCGCUAACGAAGACAAAAGGAGUCAAACUCUUCCGAUCACCGCGGGAACCUGCCGCGUCAGAAUCGAAGGUAAGUGACGCGUCCGAAAUGGGACAAGAAUUAAGCCAACAUCAAAUAUAUGUAGGCCAAUUAAAAGAGGCUUUAAAGAUACGAGGAGUAAAGGUUAAAGGUAAUGAUUUGUUUAAAUUUUUUGAUUUUGUAAAAGACACUUGCCCUU
rfam:Macaca mulatta chromosome 1, whole genome shotgun sequence.